UUGACCUCAAAUCAGGUAGGACUACCCGCUGAACUUAAGCAUAUCAAUAAGCGGAGGAAAAGAAACUAACAAGGAUUCCCCUAGUAACUGCGAGUGAAGCGGGAAAAGCUCAAAUUUGAAAUCUGAUGGUUCUUGACCGUCCGAGUUGUAAUCUAGAGAAGUGUUACCUGUGCUGGACCGUGUUCAAGUCUCCUGGAAUGGAGCAUCAUAGAGGGUGAGAAUCCCGUCUUUGACAYGGACUGCCUGUACRUYGUGGUGCGCUCUCAAAGAGUCGAGUUGUUUGGGAAUGCAGCUCAAAAUGGGUGGUAAAUGCCAUCUAAAGCUAAAUAUUGGCGAGAGACCGAUAGCGAACAAGUACCGUGAGGGAAAGAUGAAAAGAACUUUGGAAAGAGAGUUAAACAGUACGUGAAAUUGCUGAAAGGGAAACGCUUGAAGUCAGUCGUGUCGGCCAGAAAUCAGCCUUGCUUUUGCCUGGUGUACUUUCUGGUUCGGUGGGUCAGCAUCAAUUUUGGCCAUCGGACAAAGUCUUUGGGAAUGUGGCAUCCUUGGAUGUGUUAUAGCCCAUUGUCGCAUACGGUGGUUGGGAUUGAGGAAUUCAGCACGCCUCGCAAGGGGCCGGGUAUUUUUACCACGUUCGUGCUUAGGAUGCUGGCAUAAUGGCUUUAAUCGACCCGUC
rnacentral:rRNA from 1 species